AUUUAACAGACUCAUCAACAAAAAAUUAUAAUUCAUAAUCUUUUAUUUCAAAGGGUUUACAUCAUUCACCUGCAGUACUGUGGAACUCCUUUUUAAUGACUCU